ensembl:lncRNA
CGUCCUAAUGCAUGCUCAGGGCUCUUUUUCCUGAAAUAACAGUUUUGAUGACCCCAGGGCUGGGGGAGGGCGGGUUAGACAAGAACACUCAAGUUGGGUUAUUUCUGUAUGAAAUAUUGAUCGCCACUGAUGGACCAUUACCAUGUAGAAUAGGAUGGAUUACCACAGAGAAGAGAAUCUAUCUGAGGACUAGCGAUAGAGACGAAGGGAAUUAAAUGGGAGAUCUGACAGGAGAGAAGACACCAUGCUGAUAAAAAUACAGAGAACAAGUGAUUUAAGGAAAAGUAGAGAUGUUAACUCAUGGUAGGGGCCUCUCUCAAACCCUUUCUGCUUUCCUCUCUCUCUUUCCAUUUCUCUCAUUUCAGCUAAAUGCACCUGCUGCUGGGCUAACAGGACUGAAUAAUUGGCAGAUCAGUUAAGGGCCUGUGUAUUUCCCCUACCCUGUGGUUCAGGCACCACAUGGGUGAAUAUUCUCCACCUCCUGGAUCCCCUGCUGCUCUGGACCGGGAUCGAAAUCAAGCCAUUCAUGAUACACAGACAGAUGGGCUGCUUUGUCUGCUCUUCACUGGACGCCUGUUCCAAGAAGCUGGACCAUCUAUCUUGUCAGACUAGAGGUGGUACACCAUUUGGGGUUCUCCAUGGCUGGGUCUGGGUUGUUUAUAAUGGCACUGGGGCGAAUGAUGGAUGUCUUCCACUCUUGAUGAAGAUCUUGGUAUGUGCAUCUCCUCUCAGGCAGAAAGGGGCGCCUCAUGUGAGGUUAACCGAAUAGCAACCCCCCUCCUCUAAGCCUCGCUUUCUGACAACAUGUUUUUUUUGUGUGUGUGUGUGUGAGUAGGACUGAGAUAGUCUUAACAGAUGGGUCCUUUUUCCAGUAUCUCUGAAGUUCAUGUCUCUACCCUGAGCAUGACUUUUACUAGUCCUGGCCUUCUGAGAUAGGGAGAAUGAAAUAUGUGUGACAAAAAUUAUAUAUAACUUCCUUUAUUUUAUGGUCUCAUUCGACUCUUAUUACAAAAUGCAAUGCAUAUGAAAUAUAAAAAAAAUGUUGUAUCCCCAGAUGGGUGUACUUAAAAUCACUGCUUUAGUAUUAUUUCUAUUCUAUUAUAGUAUUUAUUAAUAUUUUGAAACAGCUUUUAUUAUAUUUUCAGUUUAAUUUUAAUUUUAGUUCAAGUUAUAGUAUUUUUAUGUGUUUUUGUCAUUUUUAUUAGCUUUUAUUCUUUUAAUAUUUUUAUUUAGCUUUGAUUUAUUUUUUAUUUUUUAUUUCAGUUUUAGUUUUAGUAAUUUUGUACUUCAAUUUCAACUUAUUUUAAUUUGGUUAGUUGGCCCAGCAACAUUUUUUCUAUUAUUUUCUAUUAAAGAUUUAGAAAAUAAAAUAAAAAGAAAUAAUAUUUAUUAAGAACA